rnacentral:rRNA from 1 species
UACGUAGGGGGCAAGCGUUGUCCGGAAUCAUUGGGCGUAAAGCGCGUGUAGGCGGCCCGGUAAGUCUGCUGUGAAAGCCCAGGGCUCAACCCUGGGAUGCCGGUGGAUACUGUCGGGCUAGAGUCCGGAAGAGGCGAGUGGAAUUCCUGGUGUAGCGGUGAAAUGCGCAGAUAUCAGGAGGAACACCAAUUGCGAAGGCAGCUCGCUGGGACGUUACUGACGCUGAGACGCGAAAGCGUGGGGAGCAAACAGG